AGCAGUAGCCGCGGUAAUACGUAGGGUGCGAGCGUUAAUCGGAAUUACUGGGCGUAAAGCGUGCGCAGGCGGUUGUGUAAGACAGGUGUGAAAUCCCCGGGCUUAACCUGGGAACUGCGCUUGUGACUGCACAGCUAGAGUAUGGCAGAGGGGGGUGGAAUUCCACGUGUAGCAGUGAAAUGCGUAGAGAUGUGGAGGAACACCGAUGGCGAAGGCAGCCCCCUGGGCCAAUACUGACGCUCAUGCACGAAAGCGUGGGGAGCAAACAGGAUUAGAUACCCGCGUAGUCCCUGUCUCUUAUAC
rnacentral:rRNA from 1 species